AGAAACACCGUCGGAAGAUUUGCCGGUGACGUUCAGGACGGAGGCAGCGUCGGACUCGUUGUCCAAGAAGUAUGGCUCUAUGUAAGCUAUCAUUCUUGUGUGUUGUUGUGUGAUUAGCUAUUCGAGUGACUCUAUCGUAGGUGGAAGCUUUUGGAACUAAACUCUUUUUUUUGUUUGUCUGUGGUGAGAGAAGCAGUGGCUUAGCUAUAAAUAGCCACUGAGUUCAGCUUUAGGAUUAUUCUUAUUUAACUGUUUGAUUUUUUAAAUUUCAUUCGGCCGUUGAAAUCAAUAUAUUUAAUAAUGUAUUUUUGAUUCGUUUUGUUUUUUAAACGAAGAUAUUGGAUUUAAUUAUUUAAAGGCGUCUCCUAAAAUUGUCAACACUGAGUUAUGUGAAGAUAACUAAAGGAGGAAAAAAAAGAAAAAGAUUCAACGAUUCUUAAAAGAAUGGUUAAAGGAUCCUCAAAAUCUGUCCCGUACCCAAAAAGAAAAAAAGCAGAAAAAUCUAAGAAAUUUAUUGUGUAAUAAAGUUGGUCUGUAUGCUUACGGCAUUAUAGAUACAUGACGUAGUUAUUGUUUUUUCAUAAAAGCCAAGAAAAUGAGUUUCCAUCACCAUAACUCGAUGAGCUAGUUGAAACAAUUGGCCAAACAAACAAGGGCAAACAAAGAGAACUGGUUGAAAUAAAUGUAUCCAUUAAAAUCAUGUUUAUUUUUAGAUUGAAGAUUAACACAGAUCCAAAGAUACAACAAUGUACCUGAUUGUUAUUCUUCCGAUGAAACAUAUGGGCAUAGGUUAAUCAUUUCAUUAUAUACGUUACAGUUUUUUCUUUUUGUAAAACCAACAGAUGUUUUAUUUUUUCAAGCGUACCUAUCUUUGGUACAAAUAAAGUUCUAAUUUCCUUAACUGAAAAUUUGUUUAAUCCAGGAAACCUUAACACCCAAGAUACGGAGUAGAUACUGUUUGCCAAAACAAUUUGAUGAAAAUGUUAGCGAUUUGUCUGUAAUCAUUAUUACUGACUGAUAUAAUCAGUCUAACGCAUGUAAUGAUUUCACAUAAAUUUGCGUAUACUGUUCGCUAAACAUGUUUCUGUGAUUCUUUUAAAUCACUGAAAUGGGUAGUAUUUUGAUUAUAAAGUUUGGAUAUAGUAUAAUAAUUAUAUUUUGGUUAUAAAAUAAAUUUGGAUUUGUGUUUAAGGUUGAGGGUGUUAAUUUGUACUUCAUGUACUAUUUGAAUAGCGACAAAUUAUGAUUAGUAGCUAUUUAGCCAUAAAUAAAUAUAUAUAUAUAUAUAUAUAUAUUAAAAAAAAAUUGACUGUAUUCUAGUUAUUUGUGAUUAGAAAAUUGUAGCACAAAAAUAAAUAUGGCUAAAUACAAUUUUCUGUAGUGUAGCUAUGUAUGAUAGCUUCUAAAUUGUUGAAAUAUGAAACAAUCAUUCCAAGAAAUACCCCAUAAUUACACCUAGGCAUGCGGUAGUUCGGGUCGGGCAAAAUUUCACCAAAAACCGUACUCCGAAACGCACCGUUUCAACACAUUUUCCCAUAAUGCCCCUCCCGAGACAUCGACAAACGCCGUACCACCACCACCGUCACCGGCCAAGAAACCAACCUCGAAAUGAUUCUCCGCCGUGGACCGCAUAUCGACGACAAGCCCUCCUUCCGCCAUGGACUGGCCGUUGAUCGAAUGGCCGUUUCCACGGGCCGCCACCGUGAGUUUAUCGGAACUCAGAGCUGCUCUCACCGCUCCGGCGAUAUCUUCCGGUCCUAGCGGUCUCACUACGGCAAGAGGCUUCACACAGUUCAUGCCACCAAAGUCCUUCCCGGCGAUAUCGGCCGCAGCGCCGCCGCAUAAGAUUUCCCCUUGGAUGUUGAGUGACUCAGAAACACCGUCGGAAGAUUUGCCGGUGACGUUCAGGACGGAGGCAGCGUCGGACUCGUUGUCCAAGAAGUAUGGCUCUAUGUAAGCUAUCAUUCUUGUGUGUUGUUGUGUGAUUAGCUAUUCGAGUGACUCUAUCGUAGGUGGAAGCUUUUGGAACUAAACUCUUUUUUUUGUUUGUCUGUGGUGAGAGAAGCAGUGGCUUAGCUAUAAAUAGCCACUGAGUUCAGCUUUAGGAUUAUUCUUAUUUAACUGUUUGAUUUUUUAAAUUUCAUUCGGC
rnacentral:lncRNA from 1 species